rnacentral:lncRNA from 1 species
AUGGGAUAUAACACCUACUGACUGACUGUACCAGCUGGACAUGGGAUAUAACACCUACUGACUGACUGACUGUACCAGCUGAACGUAGGAUAUAGCACCUACUGACUGACUGUACCAGCUGGAAAUGGGAUCUAGCACCUACUGACUGACUGUACCAGCAGGACAUGGGAUCUAGCACCUACUGACUGACUGUACCAGCUGGACAUGGGAUAUAGCACCUACUGACUGACUGUACCAGCUCAAUGUAGGAUAUAGAACCUACUGACUGACUGACUGGACCAGCUGGAUGUGGGAUCUAGCACCUACUGACUGACUGUACCAGCUGGACAGGGGAUCUAGCACCUACUGACUGACUGUACCAGCUGGAUGAGGGAUAUAGCACCUACUGACUGACUGUACCAGCUGGACAUGGGAUCUAGCACCUACUGACUGACUGUACCAGCUGGAUGAGGGAUAUAGCACCUACUGACUGACUGUACAAGCUGAGGAUGGGAUCUUGCCCUAACUCUGACUGACUGUACCAGCUGAGGAUGGGAUCUAUCACAUACUGACUGACUGUACCAGCUGAUUAAAUCACUGACUGACUGCACCAGCUGAUUACAUCACUGACUGACUGUACCAGCUGGCAAGGCGAUGGGAUCUAACACCUACUAACUGUCUGACUGACUGACUUUCUGACCGACUGUCUGACUGAUUAGCUGGCUGACUGGCUGGCUGAUUGGCUGACUGGCUGGCUGAUUGGCUGACUGACUGAGUCUCUGACUGACUGGCUGACUGACUGUCCUUCCAUUGCCUUCUCUCCCCGGGGAUUCCAGACGGGAAAACAAAGCCAGAGAACUUGAACCAACUGUAAUGUAACUAGUUAAAGCAGGCAACACACUUGAGUCUGUCUGUCUGUCUGUCUGUCUGUCUGUCUGUCUGUCUGUCUGUCUGUCUGUCUGUCUGUCUGUCUGUCUGUCUGUCUGUCUGUCUGUCUGUCUGUCUGUCUGUCUGUCUGUCUGUCUGUCUGUCUGUCUGUAUAACAAGUCAUGAUUAUUCAAUACUACCAUAAUUAUAUUAAUAUAUUGAUCUGUUAUAGUCAUGAUUAUUCUAUACUACCAUAAUGAUAUUAUUAUAUUGAUCUGUUAUAGUCAUGAUUAUUCAAUACUACCAUAAUUAAAUUAUUAUAUUGAUCUGUUAUAGUCAUGAUUAUUCAAUACUACUAUAAUUAAAUUAUUAUAUUGAUCUGUUAUAUUCAUGAUUAUUCAAUACUACCAUAAUUAAAUUAUUAUAUAGAUCUGUUAUAGUCAUGAUUAUUCAAUACUACCAUAAUUAUAUUAUUCUAUUGAUAUUGUUGGACUGUACAGUACAGUGAGAGACUAUUGUUUGUGGAUACUGUACUUUAUAAAGACGAAGCUGAGAACACUGCUGCUACCUGACGGUGACUGUAACAUUAGGUCUGUACGGUGCCCAUAUUAGGACACUGUCAGUCUCAGCAGGCGUUAUUAGGUCCUGGUAAGACUGAGGAUGUCCUAAUACAGACACCAUAGGUGUGUUAUUUAAUGAUGGUCUGCAUUCCAAAUGGCACCUUGUUCCCUUUGUAGCUGUACUAUUGUUGACCAAGGCCUAUGGUGUUGACCAGGGAUUAUGGUGUUGACCAGGAAUUAUGGUGUUGACCAGGGCCUAUGGUGUUGACCAGGGAUUAUGGUGUAGACCAGGGCCUAUGGUGUUGACCAGGGCCUAUGGUGUUGACCAGGGAUUAUGGUGUUGAACAGGGCCCUAUGGUGUUGACCAGGAUUUAUGGUGUUGACCAGGUCUUAUGGCUGCUGGUGUUGACCAGGUCUUAUGGCUGCUGGUAUUGACCAGGUCUUAUGGCUGCUGGUGUUGACUAGGUCUUAUGGCUGCUGGUGUUGACCAGGUCUUAUGGCUGCUGGUAUUGACCAGGUCUUGUGGCUGCUGGUGUUGACCAGGUCCUAUGGCUGCUGGUAUUGACCAGGUCUUAUGGCUGCUGGUAUUGACCAGGUCCUAUGGCUGCUGGUGUUGACCAGGUCCUAUGGCUGCUGGUGAACAUAGUGCACUAUAGGGGGAACAAGCUGCCAUUUGGAACACAGCCUGGUCUUCCUCUUGAAGACCUUUCUAGCUGUGUUGAUUCGUUCUGUUGUUUGUGCACAGAAAGGGAAUUAAAUACAACAAGGGCACGUUUUUGUUAUUUUUCAACACAAUAUAUUUUGCACUGAGACACAAAAAUGUUAUAAUAGAUGCGUGUAUAAAGCCUCACCGGUGCCACAUUGUCCAAAUGUGUAAAAUAUUGUUGUACUGUGGAAUGUUAAUAGUCUUUUGGAUUGCAAUGUAUCGCCUUUACACACAGUCUGCUGGUUGUCAACACUACAGGCCAUAAAGCCUAAAGAGGGGCAGCUGACUGCCAUAGAAUUACAGGCCAUAAAGCCUAAAGAGGGGCAGCUGACUGCCAUAGAAUUACAGGCCAUAAAGCCUAAAGAGGGGAAGCUGACUGCCAUAGAUCUGUAGUAAGGCCAUAGAGGGGAAGCUGACUGACAUAGAUCUGUAGUAAGUUCAUAGAGGGGAAGCUGCCUGCCAUAGAAUUACAGGCCAUAAAGCCUAAAGAGGGGAAGCUGACUGACAUAGAUCUGUGGUAAGGCCAUAGAAGUGAAGCUGACUGACAUAGAUCUGUGGUAAGGCCAUAGAGGGGAAGCUGCCUGACAUAGAUCUGUAGUAAGGCCAUAGAGUAGAGGGGAAGCUGCUUGCCAUAGAUCUGUAGUAAGGCCAUAGAGGGGAAGCUGACUGCCAUAGAUCUGUAGUAAGGCCAUAGAGGGGAAGCUGCCUGACAUAGAUCUGUAGUAAGGCCAUAGAGGGGAAGCUGCUUGACAUAGAUCUGUAGUAAGGCCAUAGAGGGGAAGCUGCCUGACAUAGAUCUGUAGUAAGGCCAUAGAGGGGAAGCUGCCUGCCAUAGAUCUGUAGUAAGGCCAUAGAGGGGAAGCUGCCUGCCAUAGAUCUGUGGUAAGGCCAUAGAUGGGCGGCUGAUUGUAUAAAACUACAGUACGGCCAUAGAGCUAUAGGCCACAUACAGAGAACAGACAGUACAGGCCAUAAUAUACAGAAGAGCAAUUGAUUGUUUGUUGCUACGUGAAUGCCGUAGAGGUAUGGUAUGGCCGUAUAAAGGGGCAGAUGAAUGCUUGUAGCUACGUGAAUGCCGUAGAGCUAUGGUAUGGCCGUAUAAAGGAGCAGCUGAAUGCUUGUAGCUACGUGAAUGCCGUAGAGCUAUGGUAUGGCCGUAUAAAGGAGCAGCUGAAUGCUUGUAAAUGUAGCUACAGUAUAGCCAUGAAUAUUGCUACAGUUAGAGUUUAGGCCAUAGAGUUACAGUAAUGCUAGAUAUGUUCUGUCCAUUAGAGGCCAAAAGGUUUACUCCAGAGAUAGAGUAUUGACCAUACUUACAGAGAGAGGCAGCUGAAAGCUACAGAAGGCCAAAAGGUUUACUCCAGAGAUAGAGUAUUGACCAUACUUACAGAGAGAGGCAGCUGAAAGCUACAGAAGGCCAAAAGGUUUACUCCAGAGAUAGAGUAUUGACCAUACUUACAGACAGAGGCAGCUGAAAGCUACAGAAGGUCAAAAGGUUUACUCCAGAGACAUCACAAUAAGACCUCAAACCUCCUGUUGUUACAGUCAGGACCUGUUCUACACUGGAACAGAGAAUUCACUAUAAAUAAAUGUUUCUUUUUUUUCUGUACUCAAUGACGUGUUUAUUUGUUUCUGUGUCUCUUAAUGUGGAAUGAGUGGUGAAGUGGAAAACCAGACAUUAUGUUUCAGUAGCUGGUAUAAUGGAAGUCAGCAGUCACCAGUCAUCAACACAGAAGAGAAGAGGCAAGGGGGGGAGAGGAGGUUGAGAGGAUGAGAAGAGAGGGGGAAGAGAGGAGGAGAGGAGGUUGAGAGGAGGUUGAGAGGAGAGGAGAGAGGGGUAGCAGAGGAGAGGGGAAGAGAAGAGGA